rnacentral:rRNA from 1 species
GAUGAACGCUGGCGGCGUGCUUAAUACAUGCAAGUAGGACGCAGUUGCGAACGGGUGAGUAACGCGUAGGUAUCUGCCUAUUAGUGGGGGAUAACUAUUGGAAACGAUAGCUAAUACCGCAUACUAGUAGAUGGACCUGCGUUGUAUUAGCUAGUAGGUAGUGUAAUGGCCUACCUAGGCGACGAUACAUAGCCAACCUCGGAGGGUGAUCGGCCACACUGGGACUGAGACACGGCCCAUACUCCCACGUGAGGCAGCAGUAGGGAAUCUUCGGCAAUGGGGGGAACCCUGACCGAGCAACGCCGAGUGAGUGAAGAAGGUUUUCGGAUCGUACAGCUCUGUUGUUAAGGAAGCGGUACUUAACCAGAAAGGGACGGCUAACUACGUGCCAGCAGCCGCGGUAAUUC